rnacentral:rRNA from 1 species
UGCCUUGCAUGUCUUAGUAUAGCAUCUAUACGGUGAAACUGCGAAUGGCUCAUUAAAUCAGUUAUCGUUUAUUUGAUAGUACCUUGCUACAUGGAUACCUGUGGUAAUUCUAGAGCUAAUACAUGCUGAAAACCUCGACUUCGGAAGGGGUGUAUUUAUUAGAUAAAAAACCAAUGCCCUUCGGGGCUCCUUGGUGAUUCAUAAUAACUUAACGAAUCGCAUGGCCUUGCGCCGGCGAUGGUUCAUUCAAAUUUCUGCCCUAUCAACUUUCGAUGGUAGGAUAGUGGCCUACCAUGGUGGCAACGGGUAACGGGGAAUUAGGGUUCGAUUCCGGAGAGGGAGCCUGAGAAACGGCUACCACAUCCAAGGAAGGCAGCAGGCGCGCAAAUUACCCAAUCCCGACACGGGGAGGUAGUGACAAUAAAUACUGAUACAGGGCUCUUUUGGGUCUUGUAAUCGGAAUGAGUACAAUCUAAAUCCCUUAACGAGGAACAAUUGGAGGGCAAGUCUGGUGCCAGCAGCCGCGGUAAUUCCAGCUCCAAUAGCGUAUAUUAAAGUUGUUGCAGUUAAAAAGCUCGUAGUUGAACCUUGGGUCUGGCUGGCCGGUCCGCCUCACCGCGAGUACUGGUCCGGCUGGACCUUUCCUUCUGGGGAACCCCAUGGCCUUCACUGGCCGUGGCGGGGAACCAGGACUUUUACUGUGAAAAAAUUAGAGUGUUCAAAGCAGGCCUUUGCUCGAAUACAUUAGCAUGGAAUAAUAGAAUAGGACGUGCGGUUCUAUUUUGUUGGUUUCUAGGACCGCCGUAAUGAUUAAUAGGGAUAGUCGGGGGCGUCAGUAUUCAGCUGUCAGAGGUGAAAUUCUUGGAUUUGCUGAAGACUAACUACUGCGAAAGCAUUCGCCAAAGGAUGUUUUCAUUAAUCAGGGAACGAAAGUUAGGGAUCGAAGACGAUCAGAUACCGUCGUAGUCUUAACCAUAAACUAUGCCGACUAGGGAUCGGACGGUGUUCUAUGAUGACCCGUUCGGCACUUACGAGAAAUCAAGUUUUUGG